UAAGGAAUAUUGCUCAAUGGGAGAAAUCCUGAAGCAGCAACGCCGCGUGGAGGAUGAAGGGUCUAUGACUUGUAAACUCCUGUAAAGAAGGAAAAAAUUCCCAUUAGAUGGGAGAUGAUGGUACUUCUGGAGUAAGCCCCGGCUAACUACGUGCCAGCAGCCGCGGUAAUACGUAGGGGGCAAGCGUUGUCCGGAUUUACUGGGUGUAAAGGGUGCACAGGCGGAUUUGUAAGUCAGAGGUGAAAUCUUACAGCUUAACUGUGAAACUGCCUUUGAUACUGCAAGCCUAGAGUAUGGAAGAGAGUGAUGGAAUAUCUGGUGUAGCAGUGAAAUGCGUAGAUAUCAGAUAGAACACCAAUGGCGAAGGCAGUCACUUGGUCCAUUACUGACGCUAAAGCACGAAAGCGUGGGUAGCAAACA
rnacentral:rRNA from 1 species